CCUGAACUUUCUCUUCAGCAUGAAAGAUUGCCUGUCUUAACAAUAACAACAUUUCAGGUCAAUUGCUUUCGAUCCAGAGUUGAGGAUGUUUACUCUUGAUGAUCAACUUGGAAUCAACUAUGAGGCAGUCACCUGGACAGAUCUUUGAGGGCAUUUCUUGAAAGGAGCCUUCAAAAAGACAGAAGCCAUCAGGAAUGUCUGCCUGACUCAGCAAUCUGAAAAUUG